rnacentral:piRNA from 1 species
GUAAGAGCCUGUCCAGGGGUAGG